CUAUGUCUGUCCAGUGAGCAGAGGUUGAGGUUGCGCAAAGUCAAAAUAUAACAGACACUUUUUCCUGCUUUUUCAGAUGCCUCGGGGGGAGAGGAGGAGAGAGAACCGGAGAAAGAGGAGAAACAGCCCACAGGAGAAGAAAGGAAAGAAGAGGAAACAGGAACCCGUUCCGGCUAAGAAGAAGACUGCACUGAAAUCCCAGGAGUGAUUUAUGGCUCAGGAGAAGAAAGUUGAUGAGGGCGAGAAAAAGACCAAGAGCAAGAGAUAGGUAACGAGUGGAGGACAGAGGAGCCUCUUAAAGAAGAAGUUACAGAUGUGUACUUGGGUAUAACUUAAUAGUCUGGUGUUGGCUUCCCCUCCUCAUCUCCUCUUCUUCAUCUGACUGACCUGUGGAGGAAGUUAAAAGAGUAGAGGAGCAGCUGAAGCUUGAGGUGACAUGCAUUGGGGAGGGAACACCAGGGAGACUGAAAGCCCUCCUAGGGAAAGGGUUUUAACUCCAGUUUGGCCUUGCCAGCGCUGAGCUUCCUGCUUCUGAACUGGAAUUGGAGGGACCAGAAGCCUCACAUGAUGGUGGACAUCCCUGAUGUCCAAACGGAUUUGCUGAAGCUGCUGGAUACAGGCAUCUUGAAAGGCUGUAGAGAAGGAAACACAAACACACACCCAACCAUUUCGAACGGGACCUCUUCUGCUCUCACACAAACACACACACACCACAGUUAUUGUAGUAAACAAAAACUGAAACAAAAAUUGGGAAAACAAUUGCAAAACAGAAUAAAAUAAAAUAAAUAACAAUUAUUUGUUUUGUUUAAGUUUUUUAUUCUGAAGUUUGAGCAAAAAUCAAAUGUUUUUGUUGAUGUUUAGUUUUGAUUUACAUUUGGUUGAGAUGUCAACUAAAGUGAUUUCAACGUGAAAUCAAUAACAAAUGUCACCAUGUCACUGGAGUU